rnacentral:lncRNA from 1 species
AAGGAGACAGCGAAUGUUCCUGAGCGGCCGAGUUUACAGGUUUUAUUGAUUUAUUUAUUUCACCUUUAUUUAACCAGGUAGGCUAGUUGAGAACAAGUCCUUUAUUUAACCAGGUUAGGCUAGUUGAGAACAAGUCCUUUAUUUAACCAGGUAGGCUAGUUGAGAACAAGUCCUUUAUUUAACCAGGUUAGGCUAGUUGAGAACAAGUCCUUUAUUUAACCAGGUUAGGCUAGUUGAGAACAAGUCCUUUAUUUAACCAGGUUAGGCUAGUUGAGAACAAGUCCUUUAUUUAACCAGGUUAGGCUAGUUGAGAACAAGUCCUUUAUUUAACCAGGUUAGGCUAGUUGAGAACAAGUCCUUUAUUUAACCAGGUAGGCCAGUUGAGAACAAGUCCUUUAUUUAACCAGGUUAGGCUAGUUGAGAACAAGUUCUCAUUUACAACUGCGACCUGGCCAAGAUAAAGCAAAGCAGUUCGACAACAUACAACAACACAGAGUUACACAUGGAAUAAAAACAAACAUACAGUCAAUAAUACAGUAGAAAAAUAAGUCUAUAUACAAUGUGAGCAGAUGAGGUGAGAUAAGGGAGGUCAAGGCAAUAAAUAAAGAGGCCAUGGUGGCGAAGUAAAUAC